rnacentral:rRNA from 1 species
UACGGAGGGUGCGAGCGUUGUCCGGAAUCACUGGGCGUAAAGGGCGCGUAGGCGGCCUGGUAAGUCGGGGGUGAAAUCCUGCGGCUUAACCGCAGGGCUGCCUUCUAAACUGUCAGGCUCGAGCACGGUAGAGGCAGAUGGAAUUCCCGGUGUAGCGGUGGAAUGCGUAGAGAUCGGGAAGAACAUCAGUGGCGAAGGCGGUCUGCUGGGCUGACACUGACGCUGAGGCGCGAAAGCUAGGGGAGCGAACGGG